CUGAAACGAUCUGGAAUGCCAGACUGACGAGUAGAUGCACUAUAGAUCAGGAGUUUAGGAGCUUCUCCAGGUUUCUGCAGGUACCAGGCGAGGUAACUGCUAACACUCUGACUGGUUGUACAGGUGAGAGUAACAGAUUCUCCUGGAGAAACAGACUGAGAUCCUGGAGACUGAGUCACGACGAUUUCCCCAAAGGACUCUAAAGAGAAGGAUGCAGAGUUAAAAUAAUGGAAACAAAUGUAGUAAUGAGUGUGAGAGUGAUUUGAUGGUUUGUAUGAAUAAUAAAAGUAAAGAGAGUGGUUUACACAGCGAGGAGUCCCAGUGUCCCCAGCAGUAGAAUCAGUACCAUCAUCAUUGUGCUGCGUGUCAGUGGCUCUGAAAGGACUGAACACACUCUGAUCAGCACUACAGCUCUUAAAGUGUGUGCAGCAGUGACACAGCACACAUAUGCAAACACCACAACCGUGUGUGUGUGUGUGUGUGUGUGUGUGUGUGUGUGUGUGGUCACUGUAGUGUAACAGAGGUUUUUGUAUGAUGUCUUCAUUAUAAUGUAUCACUGUGGCUCACUUUCGGUGGAGGAACCAAACUGAUCAUCAAAACCGGUCCCACGGUGAAGCCCUCCGUGUCUCUGCUCCCCCCCUCCUCUCUGCAGCUGUCUGAGGGAUCGGCCUCGCUGCUCUGCCUGCUGUCUGCCUACUCUCCACAGGGGGCGCUGGUGAGCUGGACAGUGGAUGGCUCCCAGGUGAAGGACGGGGUUCUGACCAGUGCAGAAGAACAGAAGAAGGACGGUUACACACGCAGCAGCACCCUGACCCUCAGCAAAGCACUCUGGGAAAAGGGGGAGGAGUUUGUCUGUACGGUCUCCCAUGACGGCGUCAAUCAUCCGGUCACGUUCAGAAAGAGCCAGUGUGAAGCCUAACAGCUCCAAGAUAGAAUUUAACACUGAGCUGCUUACACAUCCAUCUACAAUAGAGUUUCAGUUCUACACAAUGCUGACAUUUCUGUCUUUACUCUCUUCACUGUCCUGUUGCUCUUCCUGUAGUUUUGCUCUGCUGAAAUAAAGCUUCCUUUUGGA